GUACAUUUUAAUCAAAAAGCAAGCAUUAAACACAUAUCAAAAGGAUAAAGAGAGACAUGAAAGUGCAAAUGGGCUGUGAAACCUGUUUUGGGUGGAAAGCCAGUCUCAUGGGGGCAACUAGUGAGUGUUGGGCUGGGGAGGGAGUUGGUGGCUUGUAGGCAUGUGAGCAGCAAGUGCCAGUCUAAUCUUUUUUCUAUCUGGGAACCUUGUUUGCCUCAUGAGUCAUCAACAUUUGUUAUUACUAAAAUAGUGCCCAAGGUAGACAUGUGAAGAUCUCCAUCUCACUUCUUUUUCUUUUCAAUUUCAUACUCUCCCUUGGAUGAUCUGAUUCUCUUCCAUUGCACCUUUGGGAGGUGAUUAGGUCAUGAGGGUGGAGUCCUCAUGGAUGAGAUUAGUGCCUUCAUGAAAGAGACCUCAGAGAGCUGCCUUGUCCUUUCCACCAUGUGAGGACACUGCAAGAGGAUGCUGUCUAUGAAUCAGAAAGCAGUCCUUCACCAAACACCAAAUUUGCUGGCCACUUGAUCAUGAACUUCUCAUCCUCCAGAACUGACUUCCAGUAUGAUGCUGAAAGGGUUUGGUGAGAUGACAAAACAUUUUUGAAAGAAAUGAAUGAAGACCUAUAUGUAUGAAGGAGUGCACCAUGGUCAUGUUUUUCAAGGCAAUCCCUACUCACUGGAGCUACCACUGCUGCAAUUGUUAUAAUAUACAUUUGUUUUGCCUCACUAUGAAUCUGUUAUUAAUAGAAUUAAACAAUAUGUAUACUUUUGUGUCUGACUUAUUUCACUGAAAAUAAAGUUUUUGAGAUGCAUCCAUGCUAUGUAUUAUAUCAGUAUUUUAUUUUGCUUAAUUGAUAAGUAGUGCCCAUUG
rnacentral:lncRNA from 10 species